rnacentral:rRNA from 1 species
CAGCCAUGCCGCGUGCAGGAAGAAGGCCUUCGGAUUGUAAAGCACUUUUGGCAGGGACGAUGAUGACGGUACCUGCAGAAUAAGCCCCGGCUAACUUCGUGCCAGCAGCCGCGGUAAUACGAAGGGGGCUAGCGUUGCUCGGAAUGACUGGGCGUAAAGGGCGCGUAGGCGGCAUGUACAGUCAGAAGUGAAAUUCCUGGGCUCAACCUGGGGACUGCUUUUGAUACGUGCAGGCUAGAGUGAGGAAGAGGGUUGUGGAAUUUCCAGUGUAGAGGUGAAAUUCGUAGAUAUUGGAAAGAACACCGGUGGCGAAGGCGGCAACCUGGUCCUUUACUGACGCUGAGGCGCGAAAGCGUGGGGAGCAAACAGGAUUAGAUACCCUGGUAA